GCCCUCGUAGUGAAAUGGAUAUCAUAUGUGGCUUCGAACCACAGGUUCCAGGUUCGAGUCCUGGCGAGGGCA
rnacentral:tRNA from 1 species